UGCCCUACGGGACGCAGCAGUGGGGAAUAUUGCACAAUGGGGGAAACCCUGAUGCAGCGACGCCGCGUGAGUGAGGAAGUAUUUCGGUAUGUAAAGCUCUAUCAGCAGGGAAGAAAAUGACGGUACCUGACUAAGAAGCCCCGGCUAACUACGUGCCAGCAGCCGCGGUAAUACGUAGGGGGCAAGCGUUAUCCGGAUUUACUGGGUGUAAAGGGAGCGUAGACGGCUAGUCAAGUCAGAAGUGAAAGCCCAGGGCUCAACCUUGGGACUGCUUUUGAAACUGAGUAGC
rnacentral:rRNA from 1 species